AACAAAGAAAACAUUUAAGCCCGCGGUCUCUUCCCCUUGUAAGUCACGUAGCGCAGGUCAGGAAUGGCUUGGCUUCAAAAUGUGGCUUUUUUUUUCCUGCUCCCUCCUUCAGCUGCACUUUUCCCGCGACACACUUCAGUCACAAGAUGAAUGCAGUCAGCUACAGCAUGACAUAGACAAGCUAUAGACAGUUGAGAGAGGAAGAAGUCAGUGGCACCCUCACCUCAGACAAGACAAAGCUAACAAUUGAUAAUGAAAGACACACUUCAGUCACAAGAUGAAUGCAGUCAGCUACAGCAUGACAUAGACAAGCUAUAGACAGUUGAGAGAGGAAGAAGUCAGUGGCACCCUCACCUCAGACAAGACAAAGCUAACAAUUGAUAAUGAAAGCGGUGCCUGAGAAGCGAUGCCUUCACCCACGCAGUUUUCACCACGAUGGAGGAGUGCCCACACUUCCAGGACCUUACUGUUAAGAGGUUCCUGAAGACCCUACUUGAGCACAACCGCCGAGACAUUCUCUCCAAGCUGGAGAAGUUUGUGCGCCUGAGUGAGUCGCUUCAGUGUCUUGGCGAACAUAACAACAUGAGAACAUGAGGGGAGCUGCAAGGAGCCAUCAGGCCUGCACAUGGCACUUCCUCAAUUGAAUGUGUCUACCUAUUUCUACUUAUCCCUAUCCCUAGAUUUGUGUAUCUUCUUUUAAAAUCUCCCUAGUGACUCAGCACUAACAACCUGAUUACUGAGUCUGUUCUUUUCAUCCACCACUCUUUGAGAAUUAGUUCCUUGCACUCUGCUGCUUUGACUGGCCACUACUGCAUGAGCCUGUCUUGACUCCCUGACAUCUCAGUCACUUGAUUCAAAUGUCUGAUUAAUUAGUUAUAAUAAAUCAAUUGGAAGUUUGUUUGAUAAGACUGUGGGCCUGUGUAGCCAUGGAAGAUAUUGACUAUUGAAAUCUUGAGAACACUGUGUUGAAAUCUGUCACAUUG